rnacentral:rRNA from 1 species
GACGAACGCUGGCGGCGUGCUUAACACAUGCAAGUCGAACGGAAAGGCCCUGCUUUUGUGGGGUGCUCGAGUGGCGAACGGGUGAGUAACACGUGAGUAACCUGCCCUUGACUUUGGGAUAACUUCAGGAAACUGGGGCUAAUACCGGAUAGGAGCUCCUGCUGCAUGGUGGGGGUUGGAAAGUUUCGGCGGUUGGGGAUGGACUCGCGGCUUAUCAGCCUGUUGGUGGGGUAGUGGCUUACCAAGGCUUUGACGGGUAGCCGGCCUGAGAGGGUGACCGGCAACAUUGGGACGGAGAUACGGCGCAGACUCCUACGGGAGGCAGCAGUGGGGAAUAUUGCACAAUGGGCGGAAGCCUGAUGCAGCAACGCCGCGUGCGGGAUGACGGCCUUCGGGUUGUCAACCGCUUUCGCCUGUGACGAAGCGUGAGUGACGGUAAUGGGUAAAGAAGCACCGGCUAACUACGUG